UAACGCGUGGGUACCGUGCCUCACACAGGGGAGUAGCAGUUGGAAACGGCUGAUAAUACCGCAUAAGCGCACAGUACCGCAUGGUACAGUGUGAAAAACUCCGGUGGUGUGAGAUGGACCCGCGUCUGAUUAGCUUGUUGGCAGGGUAACGGCCUACCAAGGCAACGAUCAGUAGCCGACCUGAGAGGGUGACCGGCCACAUUGGGACUGAGACACGGCCCAG
rnacentral:rRNA from 1 species